GACGAACGCUGGCGGCGUGCCUAAUACAUGCAAGUAGGACGAGUUGCGAACGGGUGAGUAACGCGUGGUAACCUACCUAUUAGAGGGGGAUCACUAUUGGAAACGAUAGCUAAUACCGUAUACUAGUAGAUGGAUCUGCGUUGUAUUAGCUCGUUGGUAAGGUAACCGCUUACCAAGGCAACGAUGCAUAGCCGACCUGAGAGGAUGACCAGCCACACUGGAACUGAGACACGGUCCAGACGCCUACGGGAGGCAGCAGUGGGGAAUAUUGCACAAUGGGCGCAAGCCUGAUGCAGCCAUGCCGCGUGUAUGAAGAAGGCCUUCGGGUUGGAAAGUACUUUCAGCGAGGAGGCGUUACUCGCAGAAGAAGCACCGGCUAACUCCGUGCCAGCAGCCGCGGUAAUUC
rnacentral:rRNA from 1 species